rnacentral:lncRNA from 1 species
AUGGGAAAAGCCGAGCAGCUCACAGCCUUUGUAACAUCGCGGAGGGGAAGGGGGAGGCAAGGAAGGGAUUCAAACUACACGCCUGACGAGGUUCUUGGUCUUGCGGACUUUUCCCCUACAAACAUCUCCUUGGGCCACAGACCUACUUUGGAAGCUCCACAUUUGACAGUGAAUAAAUAUCUUCUACUAUGCUUCUUAAAACAUGGAUGUUCAAAGCAUGGUCAGAGCAAAACAAAGCUCUAGCAAUUGCUCUCAGCUCAGAUCCCUACUAAGUACUCUUUACUGACUAGGAGUCUCCACUGUGCCUUACUCACUGUCUUGAUGAGAUUUAGAUACAGAGAAUGGACAACUCUUAACUGACAGGCAGUUAAAUGUUACAAAAUGCACUCACAAUGACAGUAAUACUGAUGUGCCUAGAACCAUCAGGUAGCCAGACAUGAGCCAAGCGCAUUCUAUAUAGUGACAGGCACAUUAACUUGGGAGCGUUAGCAGUGGAGUCCAGGUAGUAUCAGGGAGGAUGAACUUUCUCAGUCACAAGUUUGGUAUGAAGUGUGCAGCAGGAAAAGAAAACAGUGUGGAAUAGUUAUAUGGACUGACCGUUAUGCCACUUCUGCAGACCAUUUUAGUCUCCCAGCACAGCAUCCAGCUUUCCACUAAUGCUCAUAUUUUCUUAGUGGCAAAACUGUAAAAGUGUGCUAAGGCUUCAUGCUUUUGUGCUAACUGAAAUGACUGUCAUCUGCUUUACUUUGUGCAGGAUAUGUAAGUUUCCACUUUUCUGGAUAGUUGAUAACAAAGCUCUUCAACUGGCAAGACAGAACUUGAGUACUAUCAUGUUCUAAAAGUAAUUAUCAGAAUAGGCAAGUAUUUCAGAAAGUAAAAUAUACAGCAGCUUAGCACAUUUACUACAUCUCCAUGUGGGCACUGGUGGCCUAAUCUUUAAACAGUUGUGACCUUCGCAUACCUAAGUAUCUUAAAGCCAUGCCAAGUUUUUGUCGUGAGCACAGUUCAUCAAAUCCAUGUAAAGGACACCUUGAUUUUUAAAUCAGGGUUCAGAUGCUAGAUGGACAAACAGAUAUGAGGAAAUGGAUCAUGCUUUCUCACUUAUAUCAGGGUUAGAUAAGGCAUGAAUUUGUGCAAUAUCUUUUGAAGUGUUUAGGGUUUUUUUUUUUUUUUUAUUUUGCUGCAUUUAAUUUUAAAGCCUGGAAUAAUUUCAAACAGUGAAAAACCUUUGUUCUGGUUUCUG